GUGUUUGCACAUAACGUAAUAGUGUUUGCACAUAAUGAUGUACUUGUUAUACAUAACUUAAUAGGUAUUUGCACAUAACGCAAUAGGUGUUUGCACAUAAGGUAAACUAUGUUUGCACAUAUGGUAAACGAUGUUUGCACAUAGGGGGAACGAUGUUUGCACAUAAGGUAAACGAGGUUUGCACAAAACGUAUAAGUUGUUUGCACAUAAUGUAAAAGGCAUUUGCACAUGACGUAAUGAAUGCUCACAGAGAGUAUCAAUUUUUC
rnacentral:lncRNA from 1 species